rnacentral:ncRNA from 1 species
UGACGCAUGAGCCGGUGCCCAUCUGACGCAGCCGUCCUCCGGGGCGGUUUGUCCAAGGUGUGGCUGAGAUUAUACGGUCUUGAACUUGAUCUGGAUAAUACCAGCGAAAGGAUCAUGCAAGCGAGCCUA